rnacentral:rRNA from 1 species
CGGGUGAGUAACACGUGGGCAAUCUGCCCUUCACUCUGGGACAAGCCCUGGAAACGGGGUCUAAUACCGGAUAUCACUCCUGCAGGCAUCUGCGGGAGUUGAAAGCUCCGGCGGUGAAGGAUGAGCCCGCGGCCUAUCAGCUUGUUGGUGAGGUAAUGGCUCACCAAGGCGACGACGGGUAGCCGGCCUGAGAGGGCGACCGGCCACACUGGGACUGAGACACGGCCCAGACUCCUACGGGAGGCAGCAGUGGGGAAUAUUGCACAAUGGGCGAAAGCCUGAUGCAGCGACGCCGCGUGAGGGAUGACGGCCUUCGGGUUGUAAACCUCUUUCAGCAGGGAAGAAGCGAAAGUGACGGUACCUGCAGAAGAAGCGCCGGCUAACUACGUGCCAGCAGCCGCGGUAAUACGUAGGGCGCAAGCGUUGUCCGGAAUUAUUGGGCGUAAAGAGCUCGUAGGCGGCUUGUCACGUCGGGUGUGAAAGCCCGGGGCUUAACCCCGGGUCUGCAUUCGAUACGGGCUAGCUAGAGUGUGGUAGGGGAGAUCGGAAUUCCU